GGCAGAGAGAGAGGCAGGGUCUUGUCUUGGUUGGAGGCAGAGAGAGAGGCAGAGAGAGGCAGGGAGAGAGGCAGAGAGAGAGGCAGGGUCUUGUCUUGGUUGGAGGCAGAGAGAGAGGCAGGGAGAGAGGCAGGGUCUUGUCUUGGUUGGAGGCAGAGAGAGAGGCAGAGAGAGGCAGGGAGAGAGGCAGAGAGAGAGGCAGGGUCUUGUCUUGGUUGGAGGCAGAGAGAGAGGCAGAGAGAGAGGCAGGGUCUUGUCUUGGUUGGAGGCAGAGAGAGAGGCAGGGAGAGAGGCAGGGUCUUGUCUUGGUUGGAGGCAGAGAGAGAGGCAGAGAGAGAGGCAGGGUCUUGUCUUGGUUGGAGGCAGAGAGAGAGGCAGGGAGAGAGGCAGGGAGAGAGGCAGGGUCUUGUCUUGGUUGG
ensembl:lncRNA